rnacentral:rRNA from 1 species
UGAAAAAGGGAUGAAACAGAUCAACUAAGUAAAGUAAAGCAAAGAUAAAAUCUUGUACCUUUUGCAUCAUGGCUUAGCAAGUAAACCCGAAAAUACUGCCGCCUCCCCGAAACUAGACGAGCUACCCUGGGAUUACCUAUAAGAGUUAAUCCGUAUCUGUGGCAAAAGAUUGGAAAAAGCCCUGGGUAGAGGUGAAAAGCCUACCGAGCCUAGUGAUAGCUGGUUACUUAAGAAACAAGUUUAAGCUUGAUCUUAAUUUGUAGAUAAGCAACAAAAUUACUUAUAAAUUUAAACAUCUUACUACUCUACAUUUUAAGUUUUAUUCACUAGGGGUACAGCCCUAGUGAACAGAGAUACAGCUCUAUUGAUUAGAUAAUAUCCAACUUAUAAACUUAAGUAGGCCUAAAAGCAGCCACCAAGAAGAAAAGCGUUACAGCUUAAGUUUACUAAACUUUAAAUACCAUAAUAUAUAAAGACCCUAUAACCACUAUUAAGUAAUCCUAUAUAAU